AGGCAUCGAUCGGCCGAUUCUGGGUGCUACUAGGCAGGGGAUUUCCCAGUGUCGCUACAUCCGAUACAACAUUCCGUCAAAGGAUCGUUUGAAAGUGUCGUGUCGUGCGCGUGCGGUACAUUGCUGGUCAUCAGCAAAUAUCUUGAGCGAUUGAUCAAUCAAAUUGUACCAUUGUGACUUCAAACUUCUGUCCUGGCGCUCUGUUGCGGUCGUUAACAAUCAUCACUGUUGAUUUCCAGCAGCAAUUGGAUAAGGUGGUAACAAUAGUGGGUGUGUGUGCUAAAAGCUUGCGGCUGAAGAGUGUAUGCGAUGGCUUUACAUGAAGAGAGGUCAUAAAUCAAUCAACCAUCAACCUGUAACCAAUUAGUGUCGUUUAUUACAGAGAUGAAGGCAUUUCUGUGUUUUGUUGCCUGCGGGUGUUGGUGCUUCCGUCCGUCCGAUAACGCGUGCUGCGGCAGGGAAGAAGCGCAGUGAUUAAUCGAUUUUUCGUUCGACCGGUAUUGUUUUGUCGAACUGAUUAGAUUUUGCGAUAAUCUGAUAACUGAUUCGUGCUCGAAACUCUGAUAACUUGUAAUUGGCUAAGCUACUUAUUCGAUUAGCGAAUAAUGUUUACAUUAACGACUCUGCGGCAGAAACGAAGCGAUUGCAAGCUCAACAAUGUUGCACGAAGCGUGAGAUGUUUAUAAAUCCCUUUUCGAAUGUGAAGUUAAAAAGUAUACACAUACGACAAGAACCAUUGUUUGCUUUCCUUUGCCUCGGUUUAUUGUUUGCCCAUUAGAAGAGAAUAACCAGCCUUUCCCGUUCUCUAUGGUCUUAACGGCGUUCGUGAUCGUUUGCGAUCGAUUGUUUAUAAUUGGUUUAUGCAUCAGACGUCCAGUGGAAGUCAGCUUUCUGUAUGCAUCGUGUAGAAGGUACUUUGUUCAAGCCAUUAGUGGUACUCGAGCAUUUGUUUCGAUGGAAAAAGGUUCCUACGUGCUUUGGUUUUGAUAUCUAGAAUUGUUAGAAUAGAUUUUGUUGAGUCGUCAGUGUCGUGAUCUUCACUCAUUUCAUUAUUUUAUUUGUAACAUUUUUUUAAACGUCGGUCUAUGCUUCAGAUUGUGGGAUACUCUUGGGUUUAGACCCAAGACUUUCGCGCUUGGACAGAUUUGAUUGUUAGUUCGACAGUGUGAGAAAGCGUAAAUGUUCUCUUGAUAUGAUGGAAUUGGCCGAUUUUGAGAAUCGAUCUCACAACACAACAGAUUGCUUGGUGUUGUAUCUUCGAAUACAAUAUAUUUUCUUAAUGAUUAUGCAACACGCCUUAAGCCUGAGCCUACUAGUCUGAAAAAGGUGCGCGCCUGCUGGCGUCACCACGGAACUCUAUUGCACUGACUGUUGCUAAGCAACCGCGUUUAUCCGUGUGGUGUUCACGUCUCCAACACUUGGGAAACUACAGCAUCUCCUGGAUGUCGCAAAUAGAUUUCGGAUUAGCAGAAGGUUUAACAUUAUAUUCCCUUUCUUUUUCUUUGCAGUUCACUUCUCUAUCCUCUUCCAACUAGCAUGAAAUAGGGUCACCCUACUGCCAAUCGACUCCCGAAGCCAACUCCCGGAGGGGGGCGUAUCAUGCUGCAAUUGACGUGUCAUGCUCAAUCUGUUUGUGAUAAGCGCAUAAAAUAAUGCACAAACUAAUUUCCCUAUCAGGCGGAAACCAAACAUAUAACCCCAACAUCAUCAACCACGAGCACUGGCUUAUCUUAAAUGUCGCGAUGUCAUAAACGUAAAGGCAUUUGCGACUACUCCGGGCACACCCAACGAGUUUCUGCGUAGUUCCUGAAUAGGCGCAACCUUGUCAAUAAAAUCACAGCCACCCAGCCCAGGUUCCCUGAGUCAUACGGGGUGUGUUGGAUGGGACGCUAUAGUCGGUCUGGCGGGUAGCCGGAAGCGCAAGGGACGAUAUCGCACGAUAAGAACAAUGCUUGGGUAGAUUGCGGUCCGAUUUAGGACCCCUUGCGGAUGGCAAACACUUUUGGCAAGAUAUCUGCGUCAGAAUUGUAAUGACCGCCGAAGGGCGACAACACGCACUCUAGCGUUGCAGUGCCAGAACGAAUCGGGCCGUGUACGAGACUUCAAUUUUUAAAUCUCUCGAUCUAUAGCGGGUGAAAAAAAAACAUAUAAGACAAAAACAGUGAUCAACAAAGGUGAAGGAAUCGAGAUGCACGAUUUGAAAUUGUGAUUUACAAUACAACCGGCGACGUCAGUGAUGAAGAGUUUAGACCAACUCCGUUCGAUACUAUCUUAUCGGCAGCGGUAAACGUGUUCCUUGUAUCCUUCGAGUGCGUGUGUUUGUCAUCUAAUAUUCAAAAACUGAACCAGAUAAAGCGUGCGUCCACAGACGGGAAGUGCCGUAAAUUCGUCACCGGCACUCAGGAUACUUAAGAUUACCCCGUAGGUAAAGUACGAUAAGAGCGUGGUGUUUCGAACAGUACCCGAACUCUUUGGUGACUAGAUUGAUAAGCCGGUGUUUGCAAACGAAAAAGAGAGUACCAAAACAUCGCAGCGCCACUUUGCGUUGCAUUCGCCAUCAAAGUCACCAUUGCAGAACGUGUGAAAACGAAACGCCAAACAAGUGUGUGUCAGUUCACGGUUAAGCCUUGAUCGGAAACGGACGUGUCUGAGAUCUAUUAGUUGUGCUGUAAAACAGUGCUGUAAUUGCUGGAAUUGCGGAAAAGUUUGGAGGGUGUAAGAAUACACACAAAGCGAACACUGCGUCAACGACAGAAUAAUGGAAAAUUUACGAUGUAAAAAAUGUAAUUGUUUCCCAAACGGUGAGGUGUAUCAGUGUGCCGCAAAGGAUCACUUUUAUUGCGCACCAUGCCAGGAAUCUUCGAAGAACACACUGUGCUUGUGUGGUGCCAAGCUGGAUCAGAAGAGAGUUCCCAACCCGAUCGAGAAGCUGCUGAAUCAGGCAAUGUGCCCGUGUCGCUAUGCGUCCAACGGAUGCACCUGGAAGUUUGCCCAGUCCGAGAUGGAUGCACACGUUGUUGAGUGCCGCUUCCGACCCUAUCGGUGUGUUACGGAUGCUUUAAAUGUCAUCAAGUGCGAUUGGCGAGGACUACAGCACGAAAUUGAGAAGCAUCUUACCGAGGGUCACAAGGAGCUAGGUCCUGUGUUUCGUUUCCGCGAGACGACAUCACUGGUGUUUAAGGAGCAAAUGUCGCUAGGAGGUCUUAAGCUGGUGGACGCCUUCAGUAAGCGCUUCUUGUUCUACUUCUUCUCCGAUGUAGCGAACAAGAAGCUGUCCUUUCUGAUGAUCUACUUUGGACGACACGAGGAAGCGAACCAGUACUGUUACGAGCUGGAAAUACGUGCCGCGCCCUAUGCGACAAAGGACUCGCCGGAAGAGGACGACUCGGACAAGCCAAUCACCUUCGCACGAAGCGUCAAGUUUGUUGAGCGUUGUUGUUCCGAUUCGGAGAAUCUGGCGAAGCUGCUGGAAGAGGAUCGUUGCAUCACAAUAUCCCACCGGGAUGUGCAUAAAUAUCUGCACGAGGAGAAGAUCCAUAUGCUGUACAAGAUACGCAAGGUAGAUCCAACGCGCGAAAAAAAACUGUCCACAACAAGCGUGACCGCUAGUGAAGUUCCGGAAAAGGCCAGUGCGUUAUCAACGAAGACAAAACCCCGGCCUCCACCGUUUGUGUUUGCCAACAAGGGGAAACUGUCCGGCAGUGGCAAACGCUCAAAUUCGUCUUCAAGCACUUCAAGUUCCAGCUCGAGCUCGAGCAGCGGCUCUAACACGUCGACAUCCACCACCAAAUUGCCGAACAUUACUGGUGCUAGUCCCACCACAUCUUUGCCCUCGCGAACACCAUCCACCGCCUCGACGGUGACAGUUAGUUCGGACCGGAACAGUGUCGAUGCGCUAGCAUUGGACGUCAGCCGUAGUUCACUGUCGUCCAUCAAUCGUGUCACUACACCGUUAACACCGUUCGAAAAACCGGAACGGUGUCCGCUUCUGACGCCUUCCAUCAACAAGCACGAUGUGGUAGGUGAAGUAACUGCCCAACCGGCCAAAAAAACUAUGGCCGAGAAAAAGCGAGACAUUCACCGGCUAAUGAAGGCAUCGCACAACGUGAAGAAAUAGACAAGCUGUGGCCUACUAUUAUUCAUCAACGCUUUACCGUCUUCUGUUCUGUGUUACUGUUUAUGCUUCUUUCAUCCGCUUCUCACAUAUUGUUUGUGCCCUCCAACGUGGUCCAUUUCGCAGACGACAACGACGAGCGGUUUCGCUUACCACACCAGCACCGAGUAUCAACGGCAGGUUUACGGCCAUGAACCGUACCGUAAUGUCCAUCAUUAUCCGCUGAGCGGGUAUACAACAACG